CCUACGGGAGGCAGCAGUGAGGAAUAUUGGUCAAUGGGCGCGAGCCUGAACCAGCCAAGUAGCGUGAAGGAUGACUGCUCUACGGGUUGUAAACUUCUUUUAUAAAGGAAUAAAGUGAGGCACGUGUGCCUUUUUGUAUGUACUUUAUGAUUCAGGAUCGGCUAACACCGUGCCAGCAGCCGCGGUAAUACGGAGGGUCCGAGCGUUAUCCGGAAUUAUUGGGUUUAAAGGGAGCGUAGUUGGGUUGUUAAGUCAGUUGUGAAAGUUUGCGGCUCAACCGUAAAACUGCAAUUGAUACUGGCAGCCUUGAGUACAGGUGAGGUAGGCGGAAUUCGUGGUGUAGCGGUGAAAUGCUUAGAUAUCACGAAGAACUCCGAUUGCGAAGACAGCUUACUAAACUGCCACUGACAUUGAUGCUCGAAAGUGUGGGUAUCAAACAGGAUUAGAUACCCCUGUAGUC
rnacentral:rRNA from 1 species